GAGGGGUGCAGCAGGCGCGAAACCUUAGCAAUGUGCGAAAGCACGACUGGGUCAGUCCGAGUGAUUCCUGAUAAAGGAGUCUUUUGCCUGUCCUAAAAGCACAGGUGAAUAAGGGGUGGGCAAGUCUGGUGUCAGCCGCCGCGGUAAUACCAGCACCUCGAGUGGUCAGGACGUUUAUUGGGCCUAAAGCAUCCGUAGCCGGCUCUGCAAGUCUUCGGUUAAAUCCACCUGCUCAACAGAUGGGCCGCUGGAGAUACUACAGAGCUAGGGAGUGGGAGAGGCAGACGGUAUUCAGUGGGUAGGGGUAAAAUCCUCUGAUCCAUUGAGGACCACCAGUGGCGAAGGCGGUCUGCCAGAACACGUUCGACGGUGAGGGAUGAAAGCUGGGGGAGCAAACCGGAUUAGAUACCCGGGUAGUCCCAGCUGUAAACGAUGCAAACUCCGGUGAUGCAUUGGCUUAUGGCCAAUGCAGUGCCGCAGGGAAGCCGUUAAGUU
rnacentral:rRNA from 1 species